CGCGAAGCGUGAUGGGGCCACCCCGAGUGCCGUCCGCUGAGGACGGCUUUUCUCCGGUGUAAACAGCCGGAGGCAAUAAAGGGAGGGCAAGCCUGGUGUCAGCAGCCGCGGUAAA
rnacentral:rRNA from 1 species